AUUUGUUAUACAUUGCAUGGUGCAAGAUACAUUGUUUACCAUUAAUAAUAUUGAGUUGUUUUACUAUUAUGAGAUGUUAUUCGGAUAAUGAUUUUGAAAUUUCAAUUAGUCAUAUACAAAUGGUUGAAAGAUGUUGUAUAUGUCAGGAGCACUCCUCAUCUUUUACCAUAGUGGAGAAAUCAUACAUUGGGACACCACCUAUUUCAAUAAGUGAUUUACUGCUACAAUGUUUUGAUUCACUGGAUAAAGUACGCCUAGUACUUGGCGAGCAGCCUUCAAAUAACUUCAUAUGUGACUCUUGUGAAAAGCUCCUUGUUGAGUUUUAUGACGCCAUGAAAACUGUUACGAUUCAACGUAAUAAGUUCCUUGAUCGAGUUAAGGAUAAAAAUAAAGCAACAGAUGAAUUAGAAUAUUUUGUAAUUAUUGAAUCAACGAAAAACGAUGCAAUUUCGCCUCAUCCAACUACUAACGGUGUGAUGGAUCAUGAGCCAAAUUUAUAUCCUUCAGAAGAAAAGUUUGUUAAAAUUAUUGAUUCAGAUGAUGAACAUUUGACCCUAAAUACCUCAGAAGACGAAUUUGUUAAAGUUAACCAGCCAGCCGAAGAAUUUAAAGAUGAAUGGUCCUCAGAUUGUUCAAUCAACUCAGACGCGCAAGAAAACCCAAGACAAAUGAGAGAAGCCUUGAUAACUAUUGAACGUAUGCCAAAAACAAAGCUUAGAUUUUGUUGGCGCUGUCAUAAAAACUUUCCAUCGGAUGAUGCUUUUGAAACUCAUUUAAAAGUGGCUCACACGAAAAGUAAAAAAACUGUUUACUCGUGCCACCAAUGUCAAAAAAGUUUUAUAUCUGAAGACGAACAUAAUACACAUAUGUCCAAAUUUCACUUUACUGUUCAGUUACGUUGCGAAAUUUGUGGAGCUUUGUUUGACUCAUCCGUACUUUUGAAUUCACAUAAAAUAGCCCACAAACAGUUCAAGUGUUCCAUGUGUUCAAAAAUGAUGUUAACUCAAAGAAUGCUACAACGUCAUAUGAUGGUACAUCAUAUGGACAAAAAACACCAAUGUUCAGUAUGCGGUAACAAAUAUAUAUCAAAGACGUUUCUUCAAAAGCACAUGUUGGUCCAUAAAGAUUCUCGAAACUUCGUAUGUCAGGUUUGCGACUUUAAAUUUAGGACUGCCUGGAAUUUAAAACGCCAUCAAAAGCUACAUUGCCUUGGCGAUAUAAGCCAGAAGCUUGGAAAUAUUAGAGCGCAUACUUAAGAAAUAUGCAUUGUACUCUGGAAGAAAGGAUAAUAAUAUUCGAAAAAACCACACCUAGCAAAAAAAAAAAACUUAAGAGCACGGCUGGACUUUGCUAAAGAACAUUUAGAAAAGGACGUCAAAUUCUGAAAAAGGGUUCUGUGGAGCGAUGAAACUAAGGUGAACCGUAUCGGGUAGGAUAGAAAACCAUUUCUCCAUCGUCCCAGGUAUCAGGCGUAUAACUCCAGAAACACUACAAAAAAUGUUAAGUACGGCGUAGGUACAUUCUCAAACAUACCAUAGAACCAUUCGAUUUGUAAUCGAUGCCAGUGAAUUGGAUUUUUAUGCAUGACAAUGAUCCAAAGCACGCAGCUUAAAAUAUGAAGAACUGGCUCACUGAAGAAAGUAUUAACGUCCCGAGGUGGCCAGCCCAAAAUCCCGAUGCAAACUCGAUUGAAAAUUUAUGGAACGACCUUAAGACACAGAUUGCCAAGAAAAAUUUCAAAAAUUCGGAAGACCUUUGUACCGAAUGCGAGGAGGCAUGGUACGCAAUCCCACAAACGAGGUGUCAGAUACUAGUGGAGAGCACGCCAAGACGAUGCCAAGCAAUUUUAAAAAGUUGUGGGCACACAACAAAAUAUUAACGUUAACCGGCCAACUAUGCUAUUUCUGUGUCCAGACCUAAACACGCAAUGGGAAACUUAAUCAUUUUUUUUUUUUUAAGAAUUAUUGAAUACAACUUUCUAAUUUUUUGUAAAUAGCUCACUUAUUUCUUACUUUAUGUGAUGCUAAUGAAAAAAUGAAAUUUGUUUUGUUUAUAUCGAAAAUACACGUCUUUUUAUUACAUUCUUAAAGUGUGCCAAGAAGGAUAGAAAAAAGUUGCGCAAUGACGAGUUCAAAUUUUGUUCGUUCUGCGCAUCUACGUCACGGUUGACCAACUUAC